AACAGGAAGAAGCUUGCUUCUUUGCUGACGAGUGGCGGACGGGUGAGUAAUGUCUGGGAAACUGCCUGAUGGAGGGGGAUAACUACUGGAAACGGUAGCUAAUACCGCAUAACGUCGCAAGACCAAAGAGGGGGACCUUCGGGCCUCUUGCCAUCGGAUGUGCCCAGAUGGGAUUAGCUAGUAGGUGGGGUAACGGCUCACCUAGGCGACGAUCCCUAGCUGGUCUGAGAGGAUGACCAGCCACACUGGAACUGAGACACGGUCCAGACUCCUACGGGAGGCAGCAGUGGGGAAUAUUGCACAAUGGGCGCAAGCCUGAUGCAGCCAUGCCGCGUGUAUGAAGAAGGCCUUCGGGUUGUAAAGUACUUUCAGCGGGGAGGAAGGGAGUAAAGUUAAUACCUUUGCUCAUUGACGUUACCCGCAGAAGAAGCACCGGCUAACUCCGUGCCAGCAGCCGCGGUAAUACGGAGGGUGCAAGCGUUAAUCGGAAUUACUGGGCGUAAAGCGCACGCAGGCGGUUUGUUAAGUCAGAUGUGAAAUCCCCGGGCUCAACCUGGGAACUGCAUCUGAUACUGGCAAGCUUGAGUCUCGUAGAGGGGGGUAGAAUUCCAGGUGUAGCGGUGAAAUGCGUAGA
rnacentral:rRNA from 1 species